rnacentral:misc_RNA from 1 species
UUUCCGUAGGUGAACCUGCGGAAGGAUCAUUAAUGUGUUUGGGCCUCACGGCUCUUCAUUCCGACGCUGUGCGCCUUCGGGCUGCACGCUGAGGGAGCAUAUAUCCACCCCUGUGCACACACACGGUGGCGAGCUGGGUAACGGCUCGCCGCUGAUCUUUACACACGUCUAAAACUCAUUGUAUGUUUAUUUGAGAUAAAAACACAACUUUCAGCAACGGAUCUCUUGGCUCUC